rnacentral:rRNA from 1 species
UACGUAGGGGGCUAGCGUUGUCCGGAAUCAUUGGGCGUAAAGAGCGUGUAGGCGGCUCGGUAAGUCCGCUGUGAAAGUCCAGGGCUCAACCCUGGAAUGCCAGUGGAAACUGUCGAGCUAGAGUCCGGAAGAGGCGAGUGGAAUUCCUGGUGUAGCGGUGAAAUGCUUAGAUAUGACACAGAACACCGAUUGCGAAGGCAGCUCACUAAGCCAUAACUGACGCUGAUGCACGAAAGCGUGGGGAGCAAACAGG